UACGGAGGGAGCUAGCGUUGUUCGGAAUUACUGGGCGUAAAGCGCACGUAGGCGGCUUUGUAAGUUAGGGGUGAAAGCCCGGUGCUCAACACCGGAAUUGCCUUUAAGACUGCAUCGCUUGAAUCCAGGAGAGGUGAGUGGAAUUCCGAGUGUAGAGGUGAAAUUCGUAGAUAUUCGGAAGAACACCAGUGGCGAAGGCGGCUCACUGGACUGGUAUUGACGCUGAGGUGCGAAAGCGUGGGGAGCAAACAGGG
rnacentral:rRNA from 1 species